rnacentral:tRNA from 1 species
AUUUAAAUAGCUUAAUUUUAGAGCAUAACGUUGAAGGUGUUGAGGUGGUAAAUUUACCUUUAAAUA